GAUGAACGCUGGCGGCGUGCCUAACACAUGCAAGUCGAACGGAAAGACGAUGAGCUUGUGCCUUUCACGUUAGCGGAAGGCGGGUGUGUAACGCGUGUAUCAUCCACUUAUAUUUCGGGGAUAAUUACGGAACACCGGCUAUUAUACCAGAGCAUAUAUUGUACCGGAGGGUGCAAUGGAGAAUGACGGCUUUGGUGUCUGUACUAGCUGCUUACGGGCCGGAUUAGCUAGUUGGUAAGGUAACAGCUUACCAAGGCUACGAUGCGUGGCCGACCGGAGAGGGUGAUCGGCCACACUGGAACUGAGACAGGGUCCAGACUCCUACGGGAGGCAGCAGUAGGGAAUCUGAGGCAAUGGGCGAGAGCCUGACGCAGCGAGGCCGCGUGAGUGAUGAAGGCCUUCGGAUCGUAAAGCCCUGUUUUUGGGGAAGAACAGCUGUGGAAUUAAACAUGGCGGUCGUGACGGUACCUAAUCAAAAAGCACCGGCUAACUACGUG
rnacentral:rRNA from 1 species